GGGAAUAUUGCACAAUGGGGGAAACCCUGAUGCAGCGACGCCGCGUGAGUGAAGAAGUAUUUCGGUACGUAAAGCUCUAUCAGCAGGGAAGAAAAAAAGUCCUUUGGACUUUGGACGGUACCUGACUAAGAAGCCCCGGCUAACUACGUGCCAGCAGCCGCGGUAAUACGUAGGGGGCAAGCGUUAUCCGGAUUUACUGGGUGUAAAGGGAGCGUAGACGGUGAUGCAAGUCAGAAGUGAAAGCCCGGGGCUCAACUCCGGGACUGCUUUUGAAACUGUGUGACUGGAGUGCAGGAGAGGUAAGCGGAAUUCCUGGUGUAGCGGUGAAAUGCGUAGAUAUCAGGAGGAACACCAGUGGCGAAGGCGGCUUACUGGACUGUAACUGACGUUGAGGCUCGAAAGCGUGGGGAGCAAACAG
rnacentral:rRNA from 1 species